GUAAAUAUAGGAAUCAUUCUCGAAACCCGAUAUACCAUGGCCUUAAUCAUCAUUUCCGUAUAAGUCCUCAGUAGUUUAUCCUAGCAGUCAGCUCCGGCCUACGCAUCCUCUACGUAGGGGACCGAUGCAAAUAAGUGAAUGAUCCAAAAAAAAAAAAAAAAAAAAAAAAAAAAAAAAGCAAAAAGGCAACUCCUGUAUAGGUGACCCUCACAAAGUCAUUUAAACCAAAGGAUUGUAAAAAAUUGCUAGAAAAAAAGAAAAAGAAAGAAACUCACCCACUGUUGGUUGGUUCAGAGGUAUCUGGCACUGAACUCGGUAGGGCGGAUUACGAUUCGAUCCCCCACAACUACAGUUGGGUCCAAUAAAAGGGUUUACACAUGUUUAUGUGCCAGAAACCCCAAUUUCUGAUCAUAAUCACUAACAGGCCACUCCACUAUGAAGCAUGUACGGAUAACGGGCUUAAUGUGAUUGCGCCUGAAUGAAAAGGACACAAAAAGAGAUGAAGAGGCAGGCCUAGGUAUC
rnacentral:lncRNA from 1 species